UGUGUGUGUGUGUGUGUGUGUAGUCUAUUCUAUCCAUUCAGGCUGCUCAGGCAUGCCAAAGAGUUAAUGCACUCUGAGUGUGUGUGUGCGUGUGUUCCUUUCAGUGUGUACUUCCAGGUCUGUAAAGCUCCACCACGGUAAGAGAUGAGGUUAAUAAUUCAAGGAGAUCUCAGAAGUGUUGCAUAUUUCAAGGAUCCUUCAGCGGGGGCAGCUUAUGCUGAAUGACUCUGUAUUCUCCCGUUUUCCUUGCUUUUCUUUGCGCUAGCUGAUAUAGUUGCUGACGUACGUUAUAGUGGAUCCCAGUAUGGCGUGUGAGUGCAGGCACUGAGCCUGCGCGCUGCCUGGGAGGAGUGGAUUUCUGUGUCAUUCUUCUUCCUCCACCCCUCCCACAUGUAGUGCUUUCCACCCUCCCACUCUGCCUCGCUCUCUUCCCUUCUGUGUCUCCAUCUCCCACCCAUCUAAUGCUCCCUCCCUCCCUCCCCAGGCCCCAGUGCAAAUACAGUUCCUUGCCGUGUUGGACAUGUGAUGAAAAAGUGACUGGUUCGCGCGCUCUGCUACACCUCCUAUUUCAUCAUCAGCCGAGCUUUUCUACCCCUUCACUGUGUGCCUGUCUGUCUCCUCCUCUUGGAUUCUCUCUCUCUCCCUCUCUCUCUCUCUCUCCCCCCUCUCCUCGUCUUCUCUCUCUGUAUCGGUCGCUCCUCUCUUUCUGCUAGAGCCACACGCAAGGGGGAGACUUGAGCUCUGCGAGGGGAGAAAAAAAAAAGAAAAAAGUCUGCUGCUAUUUCUACAGUCAGGGCCUCCCCGCAGCCCGCCCUUCCAUAGAUGGAUCUUUUUUUUUUUUGGUUUUUUUUUUACUCACUACUAGCUGGAUUUUAACCCUCUGCCUCCAACUAGCUGCACAGCAGCUCUGCAAAACCUGGCAACAAGUGGCUUUUUUUAGGGGCCCUUUUCUUACUUUUGGCACAUUGAUUUUUGCACCGCUCUGGAUUUUUGAUCGCUGUUUCUUCUGCUUUUCUGUUGCUUAUUUUCUAAAACUGUAUCUCAUUUUCCUCUUCUUUUUUUUGUUUGUUUGUUUUGUUUAGUUUUAUUAGGUUUUUUUCCCCUUGCUGGUUUCUAGCCGCGUUUAUUUGGUUUCUCUCAUUUUGGAUCAAAAUUUGCCAAGGUGGUGUUUCUCCAUCUGAUGGGCCUUGAUCCACCUGGAAUGCCAGGGGCGCCAUUUUUGACGGGUAACCUGUUUGUGGUGGUGGGCUCAUGGCCGGGAUGUCCAUGGAUGGCAGUCACAGAGUGACCAGUCUCUCAGUAGGGUAUACGUGUGCGUUUUAAAGGAGAUGUUUCGUAAUCCGCGCCAGCGACUGGCGUGAAGUACCGCACCUUGUUUGUAUUUACUCUGCUUCUCCUCCUGUUUCCUCUCCAUGUCCUCUCUCCUUCGCUGUCUCCUUCUGUCUCUUGCUCACUCUUGUUCUCUCUCUUUCACGCUGACUCGCUCUCCAGGGCAAAUGAGUGGUGCGCUGAGCUGGAGCUCUUACUGGGACAGGUGCCAAUUGCAAACAAAAGAAAUUAACAGGCAAUAAGCGAAAAAAAAGGGGGGGGGGGAGCGAAUUGUUGAAUUGCAAGUUGUUGAGACGUCACCAGUAGCCGUGCAUGUUACGUCUCUGCAUGACCGGUUUGCGUUAUUGUUGCGUUACGUUAUCAAGUAUUAAAGUAAAACAGAGGUUUGAAUACUUUGCCUCACUUAUUCCAGUGAAGGCAUUUCACUUGAGAAGAGGGAGGGGGUAAUGUGGGAGAGAAGCAUAUAGACUUGUGAAUUAUUCAUGUGCUCAGCCAAGGCUGUGACUGGACUGGUUGUGCUAUUUGCAUGCAUCAGACAUGCUGUUUGUCUGUUUGCUAACAUUCCUGAUUCAAAGACUUGUUAACUAGCAGGCGGCUUAGCUGGAGCCUCGCAGACAGCCUCAUGGCCUCCUAUUGUUUCAGGCCUCACCGGGCCUGGACCCAGCUGGUGGCAGGCAAGCCGUGCAGCCCUGAGCUUUGGGUUGAGACUGUGGUUGAAGGAGGGGUUUGUGCCUGGAGGUGAGACUGACGUGGGCAAUGAGGCUGGAGCUGAGGCUGAGGCACGGCUGUGAACGGGACAGUCUGAGGGAAAUCACAGGGUUAUGCAAGAAGCACCAAACUGGAGCUUAUGGCUUUCUCCUCUUCUUGACAGAGAUGUGGAUCAAAGCGGGAAGAGCUUCUGAGCCUCGCCGGACAUUUAGCGUCUUUGCUCUGGUAACUGGCAGUGAGACAGAGUUUUGAGCUCCAAACGCAAACAGUUUUGGCCAGAGAGAGAAAUUAUGCAAACACACACUGGCGAUUAAGUAACAGAUUUUCCCUCUUGGGUUUUUCCACAUGGAGACUACCUGACAUGCUGCUGAAACCGUGAUGGAGGGAGGAGGUUAUAGGCCAGUGGGCCCUUCCAGCCCCUUUUCUCGAUGUAUGUUAUAUAGCAGGUGAGAAACAUUAACGGAGGCAGCAGCAGCUGCAGACCUCUGCUCCACACAUGUGGGCCAGGAUAUGAGCUAGCUUGAGCUCUCCCACUCUCAACUUUAGUGAGUAAGGUUAUCACUCUCCACUCAGAACCACAGGAAACAGUGCUGCCAAACUGGAAACAGCAUAGCUCUGUUUAAUUUGUUUCAAUACGUUACUUUGAACACUGAUCUUAAUAAUAUAUAGGUUUGCCAGAACUUGAUCUAAAAUGAUUCUAUUUGCUUAUUUGUCAUGUGACUGGCCACACCCACCCUAGCUUCUAAAAGCUAUGUGACAUUUGUGAAAAUUAUAAUGUUUCUGAGUGUUUUUGAGGUUAGAGUGUUUGCUAUACAAUGUUCGUUAUGAAUAUACCAUUUAAGUUAUUUACUGGUUGCAUUUGAAUAUGGAAAUGUCUUGGCUGUGCAAUUUGCUUGAGACAUGUGUGCCUUGUUGGGUCAUUUGAAUUACCCUCCUCAGCCCGGGCCAUGAACCCGGAGACCCAGUUGUCACAUUGUGUUUUGAGCACACAGACUCUGGCCACAGCGGUGAGGUGUCCCAGAGGAGAGUGGCAUGUUUCUGUGAAUCAUAACCGCUGUUCUGUGUUCAGUGAGCCGUGUCAAAGCGGAUUACCUGCAUGAACGGGGACCUGAAAGGACUUUGUUUUUAAAGACUGUCCUUUGGGGUGAGGUAGUAGGUUGUAUAGUUUUAGGGUCGUACCCUUCCUGUCAGAUAACUAUACAACUUACUGUCUUUCCUGAAGUGGCUGUAAUGUCGUCAGAUGCCUUUGGGGAAGUGCACGGAUCCAGGUCGACGCACUGCUUGCUAACGGUUCAGUAGCACGAGUUUGAUAGCAGAAAGUCAUUAAGGACUGUAGCCGCUUUGUGCAAGUCGUUGAAUGACAAUAAAGUACAACUGUGUUUUCAUUGUAAGUGUUCAUUCUUUUUGUGUAAAACACAACAACUUCAUAUCUCAGCAGACACUUUGCACUGCGUAAUCGUUUCCAAAGGUUGCUCCUGUUUAGCCGCCGGUCUCUUUGUUUAUUUUCUUUGCACUUGUAAAAAUCUAAAAGAAAUCAUCACAAUUUGGGGGGUUUUAGUAAUUAAAACUCAACAGAAAUCUCGGUGUUUGCUUUUCAUGUAGGUAUGGUUUUUGUCAAAUUCUGUAUAUUCAUUUACAGAUUGUAUAUGUCAUCAUAACGCUUUUAUCAUUACCAGAGAUUUUACCCAGCCUGUAGGGCCUUUACUGAUGUUCGUACGGGGUGAGGUAGUAGGUUGUGUGGUUUCAGGGUAGUGAUUUUGCCCAAUCAGGAGAUAACUAUACAACCUACUGCCUUCCCUGAAGGGCAGCAAUACUUCACCAUUCACACACAUCAGGAAGCAUUUUGUUCAUAUCAUUAAAAAAAACUCCAUAUUGACAAACUAAACCACAUGAAUCAUCUGAGUCUAAGAAAUUUUAUAUAAAGAUGUCAAAUCAGACCAUAGCAGCGGAAGAGGCAGCAGGUAAAGUCUGUGCAGUAAGGAAAAUGUCUUUGACUCAGAUUUUUUUAUUUUUUUGCUUCAAAAUUAAUAAUAAAAAAUAAGGUGAUUGAUCA